GAGACGUCGCUGCCGUGAUC
rnacentral:snRNA from 1 species